ACGGAGAUGCGUUUUGUCAACUUCGGACCGGUAACAAACCAUUGACGUGCGGAGCCAGUCAACAUAGGCGUGCUAAUUUAAAUUUAUAUUUAUUACUUCAUUAUUCUUUGGAUUGAAGAAUAUGUAUAGUGCUUUCGUUCUAGCAUUGCCGGUAUGUAAUUAGGAAUUCCCACUUGUAAACUGUAUGGUUCAAGAUUUCGUAAAAGUAAGCGGUUCUCAAACUUUGGGUAUGUCGCAAUUAAAUUAGACAUCAAUCAUUCUAUGUACAUAUCAUGUAUCACAACAUUGGCAAAUAAAAUGUUUAUAACCACUGAUCUUCAAACUUGUAACAAAAGAAAAAUAUCAUUAUAUCUCAAUGGUUAAUAGCCUUGUUUAUCUGAUAAUUGCCCAGGGCGUUCAGAAAUGCCCAACAUUUAAGGUGAGAAUGAUUUACAUAAGUUAGAAAAGGACAAGAACAAUGUAGGGAUGAGUAUUCAAACAUAAAGCGCCAACGACAUACCGGCAAUCCUAGAACGAAAAUACUAUAUUCUGGUUUUAUUUACUACCGAACCCUGCUGCGACUUGAGCUACCCGAAGCAGCACUAUGAACUUUUAAUUUUCCAACCCCCAUUCCAAUCAAUAGCCGUGGAAAAUUGGGAACAUUAUAAUAAACACAUACCUAAUCUGCCUCUGUGACCUUUGUAUAUUUAUACUCAAAGCUGUAACAGUAUUUAGCUUGUGGAUUGUGUAACAAUGUCAAUAUAAUAAUCUCACUCGUUUUAACCACAUACUGUCGUUAGUUGCUAAAUUUCAGAAAAUGGGACGGGUUUUUGUGAUUGGGGUUGGAAUGUCUAAGGUCUAAAUAGAAAGUGGUCACUAAUUUGACUAAUUAGCAUUAUAAUCUUUAGUUUGUAAAACCAGGAACAGGUGGUGAUUAUGUUGAUUUUGCUAAGGAAGCUCUUUGCAAGGCUCUCAACGACGCAAACGUUUUAAUUGAACAAAUAAAGCGAGCUUACGUUGGCUAUGUUUAUGGUAUGUGAUUUAUAUUCUAAGAAAAUGCAGUUAUAACAAAUAGGUGCCAAAGUCCCUCACUUGCAUUCGUUUUUGGGAGCUAUUGGUGAUGUACGAUUUUUGGGCGCAUGUUCAUGUGGGUGAGAGUUUUGGUGCAGACUGUAUUUUGACUCAUAUGCGUUUCGAAGGCUAUUGUUACAAAUAAGAAAUUUUUGUCUCAGAUCUAAGUCCAAUCUACGUAUUAUACGUAGUGUCGGAAAGAUUGUGUACCUACCUCUAUAAUAUCUGCGACUUUAAAUAGUAUAAAGACUUGCUGCAAACCGACCGGCUGCUUGUAUCUUGAAAGAUAAUGAAACCAUUCAAAAAGAGAUUCGUGUUGUGGUCAGCGCGUUAUUUAUGAAUCCGGAAUGACUGGCAUGCCUAUUUUUAACAUGAACAAUAAUUCUUCAUCUGGAGGUACAGCACUACACGCAGCGAAAGAGGCCGUAGAAUUCAGUAUCAGUGAUUGUGUACUUGCUUUGGGAUUUGAAAAAAUGGAGAGAGGAACUUUGAAACACGAUUUUAAAGACAGAAGCAGUCCGUUAGAAAAGCAUAUUCGUAUAAUGUCUGAUCUUCAUGGACUCAGCUCUGAACCUUUUCCUGUUCAAUUGUUUAGCCAUGCCGGUAUGGAGCACGUGAAGAAAUAUGGAACUCGAUUAGAACAUUUUGCGAAAAUUGCUUACAAAAACCACAAACAUUCCGUAAACAAUCCAUAUGCACAAUGUCGCGAUGAAUACAGCUUAGAUGAGAUUUUAAAAUCACCUAACAUUUUUGGCUUGUUAACGAAACUACAAUGUUGUCCAAUAAGUGAUGGUGCUGCAGCUGCAGUUUUAGCUUCUGAGCACUUUGUGCGAACUCAUGGUUUAGAAAGUCGAGCGGUUGAAGUUUUAGGAAUGGAAAUGUGUACCGAUCUUCCGUCUUCAUUUGAUAGAACUUUCAUUAAUUUAGUCGGUUUUGAUAUGACCAGAACAGUUGCUCAACGCUUGUUCCAAAAGACAAACCGAAAACCUUCCGAUGUUCAAGUUGUUGAAGUGCACGACUGUUUUUCAGUGAACGAAUUACUCACUUACGAAGCUUUAGGCUUGUGUGAACUUGGGAAAGCUGGCGAGAUGAUAGAUCGUGGUGACAACACUUAUGGCGGAAAAUACGUAGUGAAUCCAAGCGGUGGUUUAAUAUCAAAGGGUCAUCCACUGGGAGCGACAGGUAUUGCUCAGUGUGCAGAAUUAUGCUACCAAAUUCGAGGUGAAGCAGGAAAACGACAAGUGGAAGGAGCGACGUUGGCAUUGCAACAUAAUUUGGGUUUUGGUGGUGCUACCGUUGUUGCCCUUUAUGCAUUAGGGAUGUCUUCGCAAUAUAACGACCAAACCAGAAAAGAAGUUGCAAUGGCAAAAGACGAACUUGGUUUUACAGUAGCGCCGUAUUUUAAAAUAUUGGAGCAAGUUUUGUUGCUGGAUGAACAAAACACGAUUGACAAAUUUAGGGGUAUUUAUGGGUUUAAAGUACAGAAGAGGACCGGCGAAGAAGGAUAUUGGCUAGUAAACACAAAAACCGGAAAGGUUAAACCUGAUGUUACCUUCAUGUCAAAAGAAGAUGAUAUUGUAGACCUGCUUACCGGAAAAUUGGACGUCCAGCAAGCGUUCUCUGAAGGAAAAAUCAAGUUGCAUGGCAACAUCGAGCUCGCUUUAAAAUUAACGGAGCUUCAAAAGAUUGCACUUCAACAGUUAGUGCAAAGUUGUAAUCUUAUACAAGAGUGGUGCUUGCGUUGGAGGAUACCUUCAAUUGAGAGAGUAGACUUCUUUAUUAUAAUAAACGUUAAAAUAACUUGUUUUCCGAAAAUCGCUAUGAAACCUUUAUUUAAUGCCUACUAACGGGCGAUCAAUAAUGAGGUGUUGUCGAGUCACCUUUGGAAGUUAAGUACGAUUUCCUUAGACCAUAUUAUAGUACAUGGACUGCUAUUAGCUCUAUGCUUUCAAUACAAAAUGGGUGGU